rnacentral:lncRNA from 10 species
GGUGGCCCUCCCCUCCCGGGAAGAAGCUGUGGAGCGGACCGCCCCCGCCUCUCUUCCCCGGCAGGGACCCUUCCCCCGCCGCCACGCGCCCCGCAGACCCCGCCACCUGGACACGGACCGGGCCAGUGCAGGCAGAGGCAGGCAACACCCUUUAGCUCCUUUUCUCUUCUCGCCUGGAAUUUAGUCAUGAAGUCUAGACUACAAUGGCCAUAUUGUGACCAAGAAGUUAGAAAUAUGGUAUGAGGAAAAGGCAAGACAACCCCAGAGAUGAGCCCUGAUUUCAAGUGGCCACUGAACCAAUACCAACAGCCAUCUACAACCAGGACUCCAUCUUCACCUCUUCUUCAGUCCUUUCUCUUGGAUGAAGUUCUCAGCAUCUCUCUGUGGGCCUGUGAAAGUGCGGAUACCAUCCAGGAUACCUGACCAGUUUCUACAACCAGACAUAUUCCUAGAUUCUCCUGUAGUUCUUAACUAGGAUCAAUCCACAGCUCUCUAGGCUGGGACCUGGUGGAAUGUAAGCUCCAUCAGGGAAGGGUCUUUUACUGAGCGUUUAUCACUGUAUUCCUAACACAUAGCACAAGCCUGUCACAUAGCAGGAGUUUAAUAAAUAUUUAUUAAAUGAAUAAUUGAACAAGAGUGCUUGACAACUUUCAUAACUUUCACCUACUCCAGGUUAUUGGACUCUUCUGUGGGCACUUAACCAUAGUCAUAGUCCUGCUUCUUCCAGGAUGGACCCUCUUAGAUCCAAGACCUUCUACCCACUUGUCACUGAAAGCUUCUAUGACCAGAGAUUCCUCAUUAUCCACCUGGGUGGGCCCAUGGACACCAGUGCCAGCCUUGACUAGGACAAAGAUUUCAAAUGUCCCUUUAGGCACUGCAGUGAUAGCUUUUUUAUACCCU